rnacentral:lncRNA from 1 species
AUUUACAAACAAGCAACUGCAUCAAAACUCUAAAUUUUAGAAAAAAAAAAAUUGGGAGGGAGGAAAAAAGAAGAAGGCAUCGUCGCCUAUCCAUCUUUUCCGGCCGGCGGCGGCUUGCCGCUGCUACCGUGAGAAGAUGGAUGUCUUUUAUUGCUUGUUUUAGUCUUUUUUUUUGCCUAGAUGGAUUCGGACUUGAAGCCGAAAGUUUCAGAUCGGACACCAUAGAACCUGAUCUCAUCAGAUCUGUGAUAUAUGGUGGUUGGUUUAUAGUGAUCGGUUGUGUUGAGUUCGAUCGUGUUAGGUGAUGCUUGUUUUGGUCUGCUCUGGUGUAGGGGCGUGUAGAAGAGCGUGGUGAGCUCGUUCAGAGUCUAAUGGCAAGUCUCGGUUAGAUCUGGAGGGAGUCAAUGGAGUGGAAGCGUGUAGAAGGUGCAAGGUGAACCUUUUCAGAGUCCAGUGGCGAGUCAUAGCUGGAUCUAGAGGAGACAGUGGAGGAUUGACGCGUGGUGGUCCCCUUCAAAGAUCAAUGGCAAGUUGGUUUGAUUUUGAAGGAUGUCAAUAAAGCAUAAACACGUAGAAAAGCUUGUACACAACAACGGUUAAUUGUAAGCUAACGGGCCGAUGUUGUCUCUUUUUGACUAGUUCUGAAUCUCAUUUUAGGUAGUUAAGGCUUUUGUGUAUGAUCAUUUUGGCUCUGGGGUUGAUUAUCUAUCAGCCACCGGGUUAUAUCUCUGGGAUUAGUGUUUCUUCUGAUCGCCUGCUUGUGUUUUCACUUUCUGAGUUUUAGUUUGUGUGUUCAAGGUCUGUAAUCCUUUGUUAUGAUG